rnacentral:rRNA from 1 species
AUUGAACGCUGGCGGCAGGCCUAACACAUGCAAGUCGAGCGGGGUUUUCGGACCUAGCGGCGGACGGGUGAGUAAUGCGUAGGAAGCUACCCGAUAGAGGGGGAUACCAGUUGGAAACGACUGUUAAUACCGCAUAAUGUCUACGGACCAAAGUGUGGGACCUUCGGGCCACAUGCUAUCGGAUGCGCCUACGUGGGAUUAGCUAGUUGGUGGGGUAAUGGCUCACCAAGGCGACGAUCCCUAGCUGGUUUGAGAGGAUGAUCAGCCACACUGGAACUGAGACACGGUCCAGACUCCUACGGGAGGCAGCAGUGGGGAAUAUUGGACAAUGGGCGCAAGCCUGAUCCAGCCAUGCCGCGUGUGUGAAGAAGGCCUUCGGGUUGUAAAGCACUUUCAGUAGGGAGGAAGAGUUGAGUGUUACUAGUACUCAGCUUUGACGUUACCUACAGAAGAAGCACCGGCUAACUCUGUGCCAGCAGCCGCGGUAACAC